rnacentral:rRNA from 1 species
UACAGAGGUGGCAAGCGUUGUUCGGAAUUAGUGGGCGUAAAGGGCGCGUAGGCGGUUCGUUAAGUCCUGUGUGAAAUCCCCCGGCUCAACUGGGGAACUGCACAGGAAACUAGCGGGCUUGAGUUCGGGAGAGGGAAGCGGAAUUCCGGGUGUAGCGGUGAAAUGCGUAGAUAUCCGGAGGAACACCGGUGGCGAAGGCGGCUUCCUGGACCGACACUGACGCUGAGGCGCGAAAGCUAGGGGAGCAAACGGG